rnacentral:tRNA from 1 species
GGGCUUGUAGCUCAGGUGGUUAGAGCGCACGCCUGAUAAGCGUGAGGUC